CCCCACCACCCUCACCUCCCCCCCGCUCCCCCCCGGGGCUCCAGCGCCCCCGACGCUCUCGGUGCUGUGGAGGCGGGGGGGGGAGCAGGGGACACACGCUCAAGAUGGAGGCGGCGGUGGCGGCGCGGGCCGGCCGAGCGGCGGGGAGAGGCGGCAGCCAGCGGCCAGGCGGGGGAGGGGGCUCCGCGCUCCGCUCCCCCCGCGGGCAGGCACCGCCCGCCCCUCCCCGGUGCCUUCCCACACCCGGGCCGCGCCGAGCGGGAGGCCCCCGGGGGCUGCUGGUGACGGGAGGGCGGGGGGUCGCUCCGCGCUGCCCUCAUGGCUCAGGCGGGGGUCGCUGCCGCCCGUGUCCCCCUCCGGGGCUGACGAGGCAGCACCGGGCAGCCGCGGCCUCCCGGAGGCCGGAGCGGGAUAUCCCCGCACCUCGCCUGCCCCCCACAUCAUCGCGGGGUUGGGGUUCGGGAGCUCGGUGCAGCCGUGUGCGCCCAUCCCAGGCCGGUACCUCACGGGCGGGAGCCGGCAGGCCACGGGGAAUGAGCUGUGAAAAGAAAAACAGCCAUAAUCACGUUUCCAGCCAACACUCUGCUGACCCAUGAUACAGGAAAAAUGCAGAGGAUUAGGAACGCUUUCCCUGGUUGCUCAGGCAACAGCAAGACAUGGGAAUAUGAAAAGGUACUAGCAUCCUUUGUACAGAAUCUCACUAGAGCUCUCAAAUAUGUUUAUAAUUUUCUGUUUUUCUUCUUUCCCAUUGUCACAUACGUAAAACAUGAACAUUA